AAUUUUUGGAGUGUACUUUUGAUUUUAUGGUGAAAUUGAAGAUUUUUGUGUGUGUGUGUUUAAGAUUAUAAGAUUUAGUGAACGAACCAGAUUAGUACCUGGUUAGAUAAAAAUUAAAAGAGCAGGAGUAAAGUUGAGUUUAAACUGUAAUAAUAUUGGCAGGCUUUUAAAUUAUCUUUGGAGGCUGAGUAGUAAUUGAGAGCCCUCAUUUACAACUCUUAUUUUGGGCUCAUGUAUGAUCGUUUAUUUUAUUCUUAAGGAUUGUAAUUUUAGUUUUUAUCUGUUAAAAUAGAUAUAUACUUGGUUUAUAUAGGAGGUUAAUUUGGCCUACAAUGUUGUAUUUUUUGGAUAGUGCUGGCAGUUGGUACUUGAAAUUGUAAAAGACAGUAAAGCCCCUUUAAUGGGGGAUUGAAGUUUAUUUAAAAGCGG
rnacentral:rRNA from 1 species